AACGUAGGAGGCGAGCGUUAUCCGGAUUUACUGGGCGUAAAGCGCACGCAGGCGGCUCUGUAAGUUGGACGUGAAAGCCCUCGGCUUAACCGGGGGAGGUCGUUCGAUACUGCGGGGCUUGAGGUAGGGAGAGGAAUGCGGAAUUCCUGGUGUAGUGGUGGAAUGCGUAGAUAUCAGGAGGAACACCUGUGGCGAAAGCGGCAUUCUGGCCCUCACCUGACGCUGAGGUGCGAAAGCGUGGGUAGCAAACAGG
rnacentral:rRNA from 1 species